rnacentral:lncRNA from 1 species
ACACAAUAAAAACAAUUCAUGUAAAAUAUUAAUAUGGGAACUAAUUAGAGAUGAGAUGGAGUGAGCUGUAAUUAUAACUAUGUCAAACCCAAAACAGUAAGAAAAAUGUCCCUUCUGCCCAACCAAGAUAAAUACCUGUGUACGCUGGCAUGCCGAAUGCUACUUUCCAAACUGUAGCAUUAGUAUGCAAAGAAAUACUUGAAUAGUAUCUAAUUCAAAAUAAAUACUUGGAAUUUUCAGAAAGGUAUAAAGGGGAUGGGGAGGAAAGGAGAAGGAAAAAGAAAGCAAAAGAUAGGUUGGCUUUGAUUCUAAAAAUUAUGUAAUUUUCUAUUUUUAGUGGAGUUUAAAACAGUGUAGGGACUAACAAUGCAUAAUUGAUUAUAAAUCAAUUUUCAUUCCAGAUGCGAUACCAGGUUUCGGCAAAGCUUGCUUGGGUAUCUGAGGAGGUUCUUUUUGAGACAUGAUUUUAUCAAUUGUGGAUGUACCAGUAAGUUCCACUCUGAAUGUCUAAAACCAGGCAAAGUAGUGUUGAUUCUUCAAGAAGUAAAUAUGCAAAAGAAUAGCAGAUUGGAAUUUACAGACAGGUCCCAGAAUCAACUACAGCUUCAGUGGUAAGGUAGCAAAUGAAGAAGACAAUGUAUUUGUACUUGAAAAUUACAUCUUUACCUUGAUCACAGUACUGUGGUGAACCCAUAUUGCAGACUUGACUCUCCAAACGUCCCUUCGAACCACUACAAUCCUUAUUUGGCAAAUACGAACAAUGUGAAAGUAUGGAGAAAAAAUGCUGCAGAUUUAAGUCUUGACAUCACAUUUAAAGGAAGUGAUUUGCUUAUCUGCAGUACCUGUCAUAUUUUGACUUCAUCCUUUCUGAUGAUGAAAAGCAGCAAAGGAAACACAGUAGUCAGAAUGCCAGGUUUUCCAGGUUGGAGAAUUCACAGCAGUAACCGUCUCUACUCUUUGGAUUAUUUUUCUUCCUAA